GAGGAGGAGGAGGCGGGUCUGACUGGUGGAGACAAAGAGAUGAUCAGAGUCCGAGCGGUCCUAGCGCCGGAACCCGGGCUGUACGGCCUAACGGGUCCUAGUGCCCAGGAGUCAACUUCCUCUAAGACUGGACGAAACCUCAGUUGCUGUUAGGACACGUCGAUACAAAAGAGAUUUGGUGCAUUUACUCAAUCCAGCUAACAGUCCGUCUGUAGAUCCAGUGCUCAACAUGUCUGUUCUGGACUACAGUGGAAACAUGGUGGACUCCGCCAGAGGACCUGCUCCCUCUGUAGACCUGCUCCCUCUGUAGAUGAAAAUGGUUCAUUCGAAGGUGGCAGCGAUGCGUGCGGUCUGAACGGUCAACGAGAUGCAUCUGGUGCAGCAACAGGAUCUCAGCUCUCGACUCAAACUUUCUGAAUCAGUUCGAGCGACAAAAGAUUUUCAUGGCUGAAUUCCCUUCUUUCACAU